UGGGGAAUAUUGCACAAUGGAGGGAACUCUGAUGCAGCGACGCCGCGUGAACGAAGAAGGCUUUCGAGUCGUAAAGUUCUUUUAUAUGGGAAGAUAAUGACGGUACCAUAAGAAAAAGCCCCGGCUAACUACGUGCCAGCAGCCGCGGUAAUACGUAGGGGGCUAGCGUUGUCCGGAAUCACUGGGCGUAAAGGGUUCGCAGGCGGAAAUGCAAGUCAGGUGUAAAAGGCAGUAGCUUAACUACUGUAAGCAUUUGCAACUGCAUAUCUUGAGAAGAGUAGAGGUAAGUGGAAUUUUUAGUGUAGCGGUGAAAUGCGUAGAUAUUAAAAAGAAUACCGGUGGCGAAGGCGACUUACUGGGCUCAUUCUGACGCUGAGGAACGAAAGCGUGGGUAGCAAACAGG
rnacentral:rRNA from 1 species